rnacentral:rRNA from 1 species
GUAGUCAUAUGCUUGUCUCAAAGAUUAAGCCAUGCAUGUCUAAGUAUAAGCAAUCUAUACCGUGAAACUGCGAAUGGCUCAUUAAAUCAGUUAUCGUUUAUUUGAUAGUACCUUACUACUUGGAUAACCGUGGUAAUUCUAGAGCUAAUACAUGCUAAAAACCUCGACUUCGGAAGGGGUGUAUUUAUUAGAUAAAAAACCAAUGCCCUUCGGGGCUCCUUGGUGAUUCAUAAUAACUUAACGAAUCGCAUGGCCUUGUGCCGGCGAUGGUUCAUUCAAAUUUCUGCCCUAUCAACUUUCGAUGGUAUGGUCUUGGCUUACCAUGGUUUCAACGGGUAACGGGGAAUUAGGGUUCUAUUCCGGAGAGGGAGCCUGAGAAACGGCUACCACAUCCAAGGAAGGCAGCAGGCGCGCAAAUUACCCAAUCCCGACACGGGGAGGUAGUGACAAUAAAUACUGAUACAGGGCUCUUUUGGGUCUUGUAAUUGGAAUGAGUACAAUUUAAAUCCCUUAACGAGGAACAAUUGGAGGGCAAGUCUGGUUCCAGCAGCCGCGGUAAUUCCAGCUCCAAUAGCGUAUAUUAAAGUUGUUGCAGUUAAAAAGCUCGUAGUUGAACCUUGGGCCUGGUUGGCCGGUCCGCCUCACCGCGUGCACUGGUCCGACCGGGUCUUUCCUUCUGAGGAGCCGCAUGCCCUUCACUGGGUGUGUCGGGGAAUCAGGACUUUUACUUUGAAAAAAUUAGAGUGUUCAAAGCAGGCCUAUGCUCGAAUACAUUAGCAUGGAAUAAUAGAAUAGGACGUGUGGUUCUAUUUUGUUGGUUUCUAGGACCGCCGUAAUGAUUAAUAGGGAUAGUCGGGGGCAUCAGUAUUAAAUUGUCAGAGGUGAAAUUCUUGGAUUUAUUUAAGACUAACUACUGCGAAAGCAUUUGCCAAGGAUGUUUUCAUUAAUCAGUGAACGAAAGUUAGGGGAUCGAAGACGAUCAGAUACCGUCGUAGUCUUAACCAUAAACUAUGCCGACUAGGGAUCGGGCGAUGUUAUCUUUUUGACUCGCUCGGCACCUUACGAGAAAUCAAAGU